ACAAAACUACGUUCAGCUGCAAUAGUCUAGACUCUAGAGCCUGUAGGAUUUGGAUAAGAGUCACUACAUAAAUUCCUAAGGAAUUUAGAAGUUCACCAAGACUUGGACCAACAAGGAGCAGCUAUAGAAAAGAAACUUCUUAUUUUUUUUAUUUUUAUAAUUUUUCUACAUAAGCUAUUCUUUAAUUUAGUUGAUAUAUCAGGGAGUCCCUAGAGUUCGGUCUUGGAUUCAAUUGAUUUGCAAGAGCCAUAAAAUGUUACUGGCAUUUGGAUUGUGCUCUAGAAAGUAAUAGUGAUCUUGUUUAGUGUAAUUUUCGUUGGAUGCAUAUAUUGUCCUUGCUAUGCAAUAGAAUUAAUUGCAUUAUAUCUUAGUUUACGUUAGUUUGUCCCUUAGUUGAUAGUUUGGAGGUUUUUCUCUCCCUCGAAGUAAAGAAGCCUCCUUUUUGAGAGGAUUCAUAUACCAACAAUCUUAAUCUUACAAUAAAUCAACUUUUAUUAAGGAAAAAGAAACCUAUUACAUUAACGCAAUAUUUCACUGCCAGGUUGCUGUCACACAGCAAAACCCGACACUCAAAGAAAGCUCAAGAGGUCUCAAAUCUUGGAAUCAAACAGCACUUCAAAGAAAGCUCAACAGGUCUCAAAUCUUGGAAUCAAACAGCACUACCAAUUCAUGCAGUAGAAAAGCUACAUAAGAAA
rnacentral:lncRNA from 1 species